GGUCUAUGCCAUACCAUUCUGAAUGUCCAUGACCUCAUCUGAUCUCAGAGGCUAAGCAGGUUUGGUCUAGUUAGUACUUGGAUGGGAGAAACCAAAGCGGAGAAAAGAUGGGUUUAGAAUU
rnacentral:rRNA from 1 species